rnacentral:rRNA from 1 species
UACGUAGGUGGCAAGCGUUGUCCGGAUUUAUUGGGCGUAAAGAGCGUGUAGGCGGCCAGACAAGUCUGCUGUGAAAACUCGAGGCUCAACCUCGAGCUGUCGGUGGAAACUGUCUGGCUAGAGUCCGGAAGAGGAGAGUGGAAUUCUCGGUGUAGCAGUGAAAUGCGUAGAUAUCGAGAGGAACACCAGUGGCGAAGGCGAGUCCCUGGACACUUCAUGACACUGAGGCACGAAAGCUAGGGGAGCAAACAGG